rnacentral:rRNA from 1 species
AUUGAACGCUGGCGGCAGGCCUAACACAUGCAAGUCGAACGAGUGGCGGACGGGUGAGUAAUGUCUGGGAAACUGCCUGACGGAGGGGGAUAACUACUGGAAACGGUAGCUAAUAACGCAUACCAUCGGAUGUGCCCAGAUGGGAUUAGCCAGUAGGUGGGGUAAAGGCACACCUAGGCGACGAUCCCUAGCUGGUCUGAGAGGUUGACCAGCCACACUGGAACUGAGACACGGUCCAGACUCCUACGGGAGGCAGCAGUGGGGAAUAUUGCGCAAUGGGCGCAAGCCUGAUGCAGCCAUGCCGCGUGUGUGAAGAAGGCCUUCGGGUUGUAAAGUGCUUUCGGCGGGGAGGCGUUACCCGCAGAGGAAGCACCGGCUAACUCCGUGCCAGCAGCCGCGGUAAUAC